AAUGGUGGCACCUGCAUCCUUCAGAAAAACAGGCAGGAAUAUCGCUGUCAAUGUAAGAAAGGAUAUGAUGGGAACAACUGCCAAAAUGAUGUGGACGAGUGUACUGCUGGUACAGACAACUGUCAUAAUGAUGCUACUUGCACAAACACUGGUGGUUCGUUCACUUGUCAGUGUAAACCUGGUUACCAAGGCAAUGGAGUGACGUGUACAGAUGUGGACGAGUGUACUGUUGGUACACACAACUGCCAUUCUGAUGCUACUUGCACAAACAAUGGUGGUUCGUUCACUUGUCAGUGUAAACCUGGUUACCAAGGAAACGGAGUGACGUGUACAGGUUUGUUAAUAUCAUAAAGUCUAUAAA